ACUCCAUUUCGCCGGCCUGCUGCGGCCUUCCCCGCCCGUGUGCCGGGACGCGGGAGGGACACACGGGUGGGGGGACGGCGGAGGGAGAUGUUGGCGGAGAAGGGCGAUGCGCGUGGGCGUGGAAUCUCCUGCCCUGAGCGCCUGGAUGGAGCUCGAGAGUCGCUGGGCGGCCGGGGGGGGAAGGAGGCAAAGAUUCUCCCUUGGCUCCCAGCGGCGCGCGGGCCCCGAAGCUUUGGAAGGGAAUGGCCCCGGCCGGGGAGCGAAGGGAACGCGAGGGAGCAAGCAGGUGAUAAGGAGUGCGAGGGGGACGUGGCGGCAGUGGCCGGACAACAAGACAGACAGACAGACAGACAGGAAGACAGACAGACAGAUUUAGAUUUGUUCACCUGGUGGCCAGCAAAGGCAGCAGUGGUGUGAGCAGUGGCCAAAGUCUGCAUGCCAGCAGGAGAUGGCAGGGGUGACACAGCAGUGGAAAAAGUGCAGAAAUAUCAGUACCUGGGGGAAAAGGAAGGAGUAUGACAAGAGCAGAAGAACUGGAGUCCCCGGGGUUUCCCAGCAGGUGCUUGUGGGAAGUGGUAGAAAGGCAAUGAUGGGUUCCUUACCAGCCUUGGACUCUCCGGCAGCCACGUGAAGCCUCUUCAGUCGGAGGGCUCUCCUCCCCUCUCUGCUGUUGACAUGCUCUGCAUUUUUGCCAGCAAAGCCCUCCAUGGAGCCCCAAGUGAAGGACUGCAGAGCUGCUGGGUUUGUGCUGACUGCUCUUGGCAGGACCAGGAGCUCUGAGAUGACCAGAGUGCAUUCCACACAGGCAGAAGGAAAGCUGUCACUGCUGCCAGUUCCCCAGGUGAGAGCAGGGCCUGAGGAAGACACAUGCAGAAAGAUGCAGGCUAGCCAUGCUUGGGAGGGAGCACAGCCUGUGAGCUGAACCUUUGCUGGCAACCAGCUGCUGCUUGCUUUUGCUUUGCUGCAGCUAUUCGCCCACCUAGUUGCACGGGCAGCUGAGCCACCCACAGCACUUCUGCCUGCUUGGCUCUGUGUGAGAGCCUCAGCCCUGCACAGG